rnacentral:tRNA from 1 species
ACCUCGUUGGCUCAGUUGGUAGAACAUGUGACUCUUGGUCUCAGAGUUGUGAGUUCAAGCCCCACAUUGGGUA